UCAUUACUCCAAUAUUCCAACAGCAUAUCUAUACAUUUGUAUGCACAAAUGUUCAUAUGUAUGUACACUAUUUACUGUGCCUACUCCGAAGAGGCAGUGAGCUUGUUUGGAAAUAAAGUAGAGUUUAGUCAUCUUGGAAGCGUCGAUCGUUCUGGUUGUGUACAGCGCGUUGAGACGUUCUUUUGUGAUUUUUUUUUUGCUUUCUUUUGCGACGUCAGUUGCACUUGCGACUACUUUCCUCAGCAAAGAGGCAGAAGCAAAGCAACAACUUGAAAUUAUGAACUUGUUGGCCACUUUUACAUUGCAACAAUAACCGACAACAAACGAUUGCAAUUGCAACAAGUGCAAAGUGAGUGUAUUUUCUGUGUUUGUGUUUAUGCUGAGUGUUUAAAUUGCGAUGUUGAUCUUUCUUGUGUCGCUUUUGGCAUUUGUUUUCUCCAUUCUUUAUCACGUUCUUAACUCUGCGAAAAGCUAAAAGUCGAAGUAAAUUAAACUAUACGUAUCAACGAUUCUAAGUGAUUAGCUCAUAAGUACCUCGUACAUGAAUUACAUACAAAUCUAUAUAUGUACAUAUGUAUGCACAUGCAGUACAUGUGAAAAAAUACGCUUCAUUGUUCUGUGAGUUAACUAUUAUGUGCAUAAAGUUUGACAAUUUAAAAUUCUGCCGCAUCAAAUUGAAAAACGCUGACGGUGAUACUUUUUAAAGUUUCGAAUAACUAGUUAGUCAAAUAUGUAUACAUUUUUAUAUACAUACAUACAUUGAAGCUGGCAAUAAAAAAUUAAUGCAUGUGCUGUAUUUGUGUUAACCUCUUCUACGUGUUUUUUCGUAUUGUCUGUCACUUCGUUGCUGACUACGAUUUGUGAAAGUGUUCGUAACCGAAUCGGAAUUAAGGUCUUUUAUUGUUUAAAUUGGAAUUGCAGAAAAAUGGAAAACGCAAAA